rnacentral:rRNA from 1 species
GGAUUAGAUACCCUGGUAGUCCACGCUGUAAACGAUGUGCACUAGGCGUUGGGGUGUUGAAACCUCAGUGCCGGAGCUAACGUGGUAAGUGCACCGCCUGGGGAGUAUGCCGGCAACGGUGAAACUCAAAGGAAUUGACGGGGGCCCGCACAAGCGGUGGAGCAUGUGGUUUAAUUCGAUGAUACGCGAGGAACCUUACCAGGGUUUGACAUAUACCGGAAGUCGUAAGAGAUUACGGCGCCCUUCGGGGCUGGUAUACAGGUGCUGCAUGGCUGUCGUCAGCUCGUGCCG